UACGUAGGGGGCAAGCGUUGUCCGGAUUUAUUGGGCGUAAAGAGCGUGUAGGCGGCCGUACAGGUCAGCUGUGAAAACUCGAGGCUCAACCUCGAGACGUCGGUUGAAACCGUACGGCUAGAGUCCGGAAGAGGAGAGUGGAAUUCCCGGUGUAGCGGUGGAAUGCGCAGAUAUCAGGAGGAACACCAAUAGCGAAGGCAGCUCGCUGGGACGUUACUGACACUGAGGCGCGAAAGCGUGGGGAGCGAACAGG
rnacentral:rRNA from 1 species